rnacentral:rRNA from 1 species
ACACUCCUACGGGAGGCAGCAGUGGGGAAUUUUGGACAAUGGGCGAAAGCCUGAUCCAGCAAUGCCGCGUGAGUGAAGAAGGCCUUCGGGUUGUAAAGCUCUUUUGUCAGGGAAGAAACGGUGAAAGCUAAUAUCUUUUGCUAAUGACGGUACCUGAAGAAUAAGCACCGGCUAACUACGUGCCAGCAGCCGCGGUAAUACGCAGGGUGCAAGCGUUAAUCGGAAUUACUGGGCGUAAAGCGUGCGCAGGCGGUUUUGUAAGUCUGAUGUGAAAUCCCCGGGCUCAACCUGGGAAUUGCAUUGGAGACUGCAAGGCUAGAAUCUGGCAGAGGGGGGUAGAAUUCCACGUGUAGUAGUGAAAUGCGUAGAUAUGUGGAGGAACACCGAUGGCGAAGGCAGCCCCCUGGGUCAAGAUUGACGCUCAUGCACGAAAGCGUGGUGAGCAAACAGGAUUAGAAACCCGAGUAGUCCCAUG